CCCGAGGAUUAACCCCACCGGUUCCUUCCUCCUGAGCAGUUUAAACCCGAAGGCCUUCUUCCUUCACGCGGCAUUGCUGGAUCAGGGUUGCCCCCAUUGUCCAAAAUUCCCCACUGCUGCCUCCCGUAGG
rnacentral:rRNA from 1 species